GCGGAAGGCAGCAGCCGCAGGCGGUCU
rnacentral:SRP_RNA from 2 species